GACGAACGCUGGCGGCGUGCCUAAUACAUGCAAGUCGAGCGAAGUUUUUCUGGUGCUUGCACUAGAAAAACUUAGCGGCGAACGGGUGAGUAACACGUAAAGAACCUGCCUCAUAGACUGGGACAACUAUUGGAAACGAUAGCUAAUACCGGAUAACAGCAUUAACUGCAUGGUUGAUGUUUAAAAGUUGGUUUUGCUAACACUAUGAGAUGGCUUUGCGGUGCAUUAGCUAGUUGGUGGGGUAAAGGCCUACCAAGGCGACGAUACAUAGCCGACCUGAGAGGGUGAUCGGCCACACUGGGACUGAGACACGGCCCAGACUCCUACGGGAGGCAGCAGUAGGGAAUCUUCGGCAAUGGGGGGAACCCUGACCGAGCAACGCCGCGUGAGUGAAGAAGGUUUUCGGAUCGUAAAGCUCUGUUGUUAAGGAAGAACGAGUGUGAGAAUGGAAAGUUCAUACUGUGACGGUACUUAACCAGAAAGGGACGGCUAACUACGUGCCAGCAGCCGCGGUAAUACGUAGGUCCCGAGCGUUGUCCGGAUUUAUUGGGCGUAAAGCGAGCGCAGGCGGUUAGAUAAGUCUGAAGUUAAAGGCAGUGGCUCAACCAUUGUAGGCUUUGGAAACUGUUUAACUUGAGUGCAGAAGGGGAGAGUGGAAUUCCAUGUGUAGCGGUGAAAUGCGUAGAUAUAUGGAGGAACACCGGUGGCGAAAGCGGCUCUCUGGUCUGUAACUGACGCUGAGGCUCGAAAGCGUGGGGAGCGAACAGG
rnacentral:rRNA from 1 species